rnacentral:rRNA from 1 species
CAGUAGCCGCGGGAAUACGUAGGGGGCAAGCGUUAUCCGGAAUUACUGGGUGUAAAGGGAGCGUAGACGGUUAAACAAGUCUGAAGUGAAAUGCCGGGGCUCAACCCCGGAGCUGCUUUGGGAACUGCAGAACUGGAGUGUCGGAGGGGUAAGCGGAAUUCCCAGUGUAGCGGUGAAAUGCGUAGAUAUUGGGAGGAACACCGGCGGCGAAGGCGGCUUACUGGACGACAACUGACGUUGAGGCUCGAAGGUGUGGGUAGCAAACAGGAUUAGAUACCCCUGUAGUCCCUGUCUCUUAUAC